UUGAUAUUGUAGAUGGGAAGCAU
rnacentral:piRNA from 1 species